rnacentral:other from 1 species
UGGUUCCUGCGCUGUGCGUGGAUUUUUGGCCCUCUUAAACCCACAUUUCUAAUAAGGAAUGCCAUAUUCCGCGGUGAAUUGCAGGCCUCCCGGCCGUGUCCUGAGCACGGUUGGACGUUGGAAGCAGAGAAGCCGCGGAGAGGCGAUCCACCUGCCGAGUCGUGCAGGUUAUAAUUGGGCCCCACGGCAGGGCGGGAAUUUU